AGGUCGGUAGCUCAGCUGGUAGAGCGGCGGUCUCCAAAACCGUAGGUCACAGGUUCGAUCCCUGUCCGGCCUG
rnacentral:tRNA from 1 species